AACGAACGCUGGCGGCAUGCCUAACACAUGCAAGUCGAACGAGACCUUCGGGUCUAGUGGCGCACGGGUGCGUAACGCGUGGGAAUCUGCCCUCUGGUUCGGAACAACAGUUGGAAACGACUGCUAAUACCGGAUAAUGACUUCGGUCCAAAGAUUUAUCGCCUGAGGAUGAGCCCGCGUCGGAUUAGCUUGUUGGUGAGGUAAAAGCUCACCAAGGCGACGAUCCGUAGCUGGUCUGAGAGGAUGAUCCGCCACACUGGGACUGAGACACGGCCCAAACUCCUACGGGAGGCAGCAGUGGGGAAUAUUGGACAAUGGGCGAAAGCCUGAUCCAGCAAUGCCGCGUGAGUGAUGAAGGCCUUAGGGUUGUAAAGCUCUUUUACCCGGGAUGAUAAUGACAGUACCGGGAGAAUAAGCCCCGGCUAACUCCGUGCCAGCCGCCGCGGUAAAAC
rnacentral:rRNA from 1 species